rnacentral:rRNA from 1 species
CUGGCUCAGGACGAACGCUGGCGGCGUGCUUAACACAUGCAAGUCGAACGGAAAGGCCCUGCUUUUGUGGGGUGCUCGAGUGGCGAACGGGUGAGUAACACGUGAGUAACCUGCCCUUGACUUUGGGAUAACUUCAGGAAACUGGGGCUAAUACCGGAUAGGAGCUCCUGCUGCAUGGUGGGGGUUGGAAAGUUUCGGCGGUUGGGGAUGGACUCGCGGCUUAUCAGCUUGUUGGUGGGGUAGUGGCUUACCAAGGCUUUGACGGGUAGCCGGCCUGAGAGGGUGACCGGCCACAUUGGGACUGAGAUACGGCCCAGACUCCUACGGGAGGCAGCAGUGGGGAAUAUUGCACAAUGGGCGGAAGCCUGAUGCAGCAACGCCGCGUGCGGGAUGACGGCCUUCGGGUUGUAAACCGCUUUCGCCUGUGACGAAGCGUGAGUGACGGUAAUGGGUAAAGAAGCACCGGCUAACUACGUGCCAGCAGCCGCGGUGAUACGUAGGGUGCGAGCGUUGUCCGGAUUUAUUGGGCGUAAAGGGCUCGUAGGUGGUUGAUCGCGUCGGAAGUGUAAUCUUGGGGCUUAACCCUGAGCGUGCUUUCGAUACGGGUUGACUUGAGGAAGGUAGGGGAGAAUGGAAUUCCUGGUGGAGCGGUGGAAUGCGCAGAUAUCAGGAGGAACACCAGUGGCGAAGGCGGUUCUCUGGGCCUUUCCUGACGCUGAGGAGCGAAAGCGUGGGGUGCGAACAGGCUUAGAUACCCUGGUAGUCCACGCUGUAAACGGUGGGUACUAGGUGUGGGGUCCAUUCCACGGGUUCCGUGCCGUAGCUAACGCUUUAAGUACCCCGCCUGGGGAGUACGGCCGCAAGGCUAAAACUCAAAGGAAUUGACGGGGCCCUGCACAAGCGGCGGAGCAUGCGGAUUAAUUCGAUGCAACGCGUAGAACCUUACCUGGGUUUGACAUGGAUCGGGAGUGCUCAGAGAUGGGUGUGCCUCUUUUGGGGUCGGUUCACAGGUGGUGCAUGGCUGUCGUCAGCUCGUGUCGUGAGAUGUUGGGUUAAGUCCCGCAACGAGCGCAACCCUUGUUCACUGUUGCCAGCACGUUAUGGUGGGGACUCAGUGGAGACCGCCGGGGUCAACUCGGAGGAAGGUGGGGAUGACGUCAAGUCAUCAUGCCCCUUAUGUCCAGGGCUUCACGCAUGCUACAAUGGCUGGUACAGAGAGUGGCGAGCCUGUGAGGGUGAGCGAAUCUCGGAAAGCCGGUCUCAGUUCGGAUUGGGGUCUGCAACUCGACCUCAUGAAGUCGGAGUCGCUAGUAAUCGCAGAUCAGCAACGCUGCGGUGAAUACGUUCCCGGGGCUUGUACACACCGCCCGUCAAGUCAUGAAAGUUGGUAACACCCGAAGCCGGUGGCCUAACCGUUGUGGGGGAGCCGUCGAAGGUGGGACUGGUGAUUAGGACUAAG